rnacentral:rRNA from 1 species
UGGGGAAUUUUGGACAAUGGGGGAAACCCUGAUCCAGCCAUCCCGCGUGUGCGAUGAAGGCCUUCGGGUUGUAAAGCACUUUUGGCAGGAAAGAAACGUCGCGGGUUAAUACCCCGCGAAACUGACGGUACCUGCAGAAUAAGCACCGGCUAACUACGUGCCAGCAGCCGCGGUAAUACGUAGGGUGCAAGCGUUAAUCGGAAUUACUGGGCGUAAAGCGUGCGCAGGCGGUUCGGAAAGAAAGAUGUGAAAUCCCAGAGCUUAACUUUGGAACUGCAUUUUUAACUACCGGGCUAGAGUGUGUCAGAGGGAGGUGGAAUUCCGCGUGUAGCAGUGAAAUGCGUAGAUAUGCGGAGGAACACCGAUGGCGAAGGCAGCCUCCUGGGAUAACACUGACGCUCAUGCACGAAAGCGUGGGGAGCAAACAGGAUUAGAUACCCUGGUAGUCCACGCCCUAAACGAUGUCAACUAGCUGUUGGGGCCUUCGGGCCUUGGUAGCGCAGCUAACGCGUGAAGUUGACCGCCUGGGGAGUACGGUCGCAAGAUUAAACUC